rnacentral:lncRNA from 10 species
CAUUUUAAAGGGAAAAAAAGCAAGAAGGCCAAAGAAUCAUCCAAUUUGGAAAAGUUUAUUAUAAUAAGGUAUUUCAUUUAUUCUAUUCUCGCACAUAUGAAACAAAAGCAAUGGGAGACAAGAGAAGCAAUGUAUAUCAAGAAGUCCCAGGAAGACUAUGAAAACAUUUACAUCCCCAUGUUGGAGACAUGUGGGUUUCAAUAUUUCAUGGUU